CUGUGUUGCAAGAGGUGGUGUGGACAGUUAAAACGACCCUAAUAAAAGUGUCAGCGUCGGGCUUUUAAUCGUGACGAGCUAUCUAUCCACAGCAUUCGGUGUCCUCUUCUUUACUGGUGCAACACCUGGAACAGCAGUGACAACAGUCCUUCAAAGGUUCGUAGAUGUAUCCAUCUUACGCACGAGCCAAGUACUCUGUCUCCUUACAUUUCCCAGCAACAAAACCUUUUAUUUCUUUUUUGUUGCUCUUAUCAAAUAACUUCGCUCUACUCCUCAGCAGUUCUUGAUAAAAGAAAACAAAUGAAGUGACAGACUAAUAAGGAGCGGCUUACACUAAACCAGUAGGUUUCCGCCUCCGAAACUUUGAUGAAGAAACACCUGUCCUCCAUCCUGAUUGGAUUGGACGCUUUGCGCUUGUCACGUGAACACGGUUCAGGUGAAUACAUUGGGAUGGUAGGCGGGGCGUGUCGUUGCACUGCAACAUACCCCCACGGGAUCGUGCAGCCUCCCCGGUGACAACAAAAAGAAAAGAAAAAAAGAUUCCUUUGUCAAAGCGGCCCAACCCUAAACCAGAGAGCCAAAUUACGUUUCAGUGUUUGGACGUCCUGUUUUUUAGGCUCUGGCUUGUCGUGCAAAGGAGAAGAAUGAGGCAGCCUUGCUGAGAGUUGAUAUUUAACUUCAGCCCCACCAGAUAAAGAAAGCACCCAUGCAAUUGUUUUGAGAGGGAGAUCUGCAAAAUAAAGAUUAGCCUCCAAUGCCGAGAACACUGACCUGAUUAUUCAGGGUGAAAAUACAGAAGAAGAGCAUUUGUCCCUUGAAACAGUAAAGCAUGUGGAGAAUCCACACAGUCACAAGUAUGCAGCAGCCAUGCAGAGGAAAUGAACACUUUUAGUCACUUUAGGCAUAUAAACAAAAGAAUGCAGAUAGACGCACAUGAACCUAGAACUGCACCUAACCAUGAUCUUUCCAUUAUUUUUCCGAUGAAUACUCCUGGCAAUGACUAAACAAUCCAGAGAUUCUUAAAUAGCACCAGCAAGUAAUCAACAGACCGCAAGAUAUUUUCUCUAUGGUGUUAAUAAAGUGCUUUAUCUACCUCGCAUCCAUGGCCAGUUUUGAAUAGCCAAUAAGCGGAACAUGUGUCUGGGACUGUGGGAGCAAGCCAGGAAACCCUCGCAGGGACAACAUGCAAACUUUGAACCAGGAAACUGCUUGGUGCCAGGCAGCAUUGCUAACCACUGACAAAACCAGCAUUCGGUUAAAUUUCUGACUCAUCUACAUUAUUGUACAAAAGUCUUGAACCAACCAGCAUUACCUCUGCCAAAUAGAUUAUGGUUUUGGUAAUAUGUGUGCGUGUAUGUGCCUGUAAACAUAGUAGCUCAAAAUGUUUUGAAUAAAUUCUGUUAAAAUUGUAUAGAGUGUGGUCAUGCGGGAAUCCAUUAAAAUUUGGCUUAUAUCUGCCAAGGUCUUCAAAUUCUAUUUACUGAUUUAUUGGUGGAAAUUAUAACGAAAAGCCUUAUAACUUACAAACUAUGAUUCAUACAAGGGUUUUGUGUAUUGUCAAGCUGUAGAAAGUAACAUAGGAUUUAACAUAGGAUGGUAUUUAAAAUACUGUGUCACAUUUGACCUCUGACCUGUCCUUCAAAGUCAAUAAAUUGAUCUCAUGGUCAAAGUGAGCGAUUUUAAAUGACAAUUGGUUUUCAGACUGACGAGAACAGGUUGACAAGGGAUACUUUUUGUGUACAGUUGAUUAAUUUUAUUACGACUUUGUUAUGUAAAUUAUAGUAAAAUGUCCUAACUGUUUAAAUUCAUCACAAUUUGAAUACAAAUACAAUGUAUCUGAAUAAGUAUUUUUUUGGAAAACAAACUAUCAGAAAUGUCUUUAACUUGAUACAUAUCACUGUCAAGUAUGUUUAAAUGGGUUUCAACAGGGCAAAUAACAAAAGGCUGCACUUUGCACUUGUUUUUACUGCACUACAAACGUGUUUGUUAAGCCACUUAACACUGACCUUUGAACCAUUCAAGCAUAAAAAGGCACCUAACUCAAGGGAUGAAUCAGUGUUAUGUCUACAGUUUAGCAAAGAACCAGUUUUAAAAUGUAA